GACGAACGCUGGCGGCGUGCCUAAUACAUGCAAGUAGAACGCUGAAGGAGGAGCUUGCUUCUCUGGAUGAGUUGCGAACGGGUGAGUAACGCGUAGGUAACCUGCCUGGUAGCGGGGGAUAACUAUUGGAAACGAUAGCUAAUACCGCAUAAUAGCAGUUGUUGCAUGACAACUGUUUGAAAGGUGCAAUUGCACCACUACCAGAUGGACCUGCGUUGUAUUAGCUAGUUGGUGGGGUAACGGCUCACCAAGGCGACGAUACAUAGCCGACCUGAGAGGGGGUGCGGCCAACCGGGGACUGGACCACGGCCCAGACUCCUACGGGAGGAAGCAGUAGGGAAUCUUCGGCAAAGGACGGAAGUUUGACCGAGAAACGCCGGGGGAGUGAAAAAGGUUUUGGGAUCUAAAAGCUCUGUUGUAAGAGAAAAACGGGUGUGGGAGGGGAAAGUUCACACUGUGACGGUAUUUUACCAAAAAGGGACGGCUAACUACGU
rnacentral:rRNA from 1 species